ACACACCUCCCUGCAGCCUGGCACUGGAAACUGCUGAGCCAUGCAGGGCAGCCUGGUGGCGGCUAGGACACUUCUGCAGAGGACCUGGAGUUGGGCUGCUCCCGGGGCUCCCAUCUCUUGCUGGGUCUGUUUUCAGGUGCACCCUCCUCCUCCAGGAGGCAGGGGCAAGACCAGCUUCAGCCCUUCUUGCUCUCCAUGGUCUGUAUAUGGACAGGGUGUGGGCCCGGGGAGACAGUUGUGUGGUGUGUGCAUUGUGUGUGUGGGGGGGGUUGUCUGUGUGUCUGUGAAUAUUUGUGUGAUAUGUGUGUAGUAUGCUCAUGUGUCAUGACUCUGUGAGGGUGUGAUGGAAGAGUGUGUGUAAGAGAGAAGUUUGAGUGUGUGUGGUGUGUGCAUCUGGUGUCUGUGGGUGAUGUUUGUGUACAUAGUGUCUGUGUGUGUGAUGUCGGUGUGUUGUGUGGGUUUGUGUGUGUAUAUAGUGUCUGUGUGUGUGAUGUCAGCGUGUUGUGUAAGGAUUUAUGUGUGUGUGUGGUGUCUGUGUUUGUGAUGUUGGUGUGUUGUGUGUGGGUCUAUGUUUGUGUGUGAUGUUGGUGUGUGUGAUAUCAGUGUGUUGUGUGUGGGUUUAUGUGUGUGUGUGUGAUGUCUGUGUCUGAUGGUGUGUUUUGUGUGGGAUUGUGUGUGUGUGUGUGGUGUCUGUGUGUGUGAUGUCAGUGUGUUGUGUGUGGGUUUAUGUGUGUGAUGUCGGUGUGUGUGAUGUCAGUGUGUUGUGUGUGGGUUGAUAUGUGUAUGUGUGAUGUUGGUGUGUUGUGUGUGCAUUUAUGUGUGUGUGGUGUCUGUGUGUGUGAUGUCAGUGUGUUGUGUGUGGGUGUAUAUUUGUGCAUCAUGUCAGUGUGUGUGAUGUCAGUGUGUUGUGUGUGGGUUUAUGUGUGUGUCUGAUUUUGGUGUGUUGUGUAUGGGUUUAUGUGUGUGUGGUGACUGUGUGUGAUGUUGGUGUGUUGUGUGGGUUUAUGUGUGUGGUGUCUGUGUGUAUGAUGUCAGUGUGUUGUGUAGGUUUAUGUGUAUGUGAUGUUGGUGUGUGUAAUGUCAGUGUGUUGUGUGUGGGUUUAUAUGUGUUUGUGUGAUAUUGGUGUGUUGUGUGUGGGUUUAUGAGUGUGCAUGGUGUCUGUGUGAUGUUGGUGUGUUGUGUGGGUUUGUGUGUGUGGAUGUGGUUUCUGCCUAUGGGAGGAGGUUUGCUCACAGAUGGAGGAGAAGGAGCUCUAUAGGCAAAGAUCCCAGGGCCGUGGAGGAGGAGACACAGUCCUGAGAACUCCUUCCUCUGAAUCAGAAGGACAGGAAAGAAGUCCUAGCAGAGUAUGCCCACGCUGGUUAGUGCUGCUGCAAAGAUGAGCCGAAGACCAUGAGAGACCUCCAGGUGGUCCUUCUGGGGAGAAGAAAUGGGUUUUGGCCCCAAAUCCUUCUGCUGCAUUUUUCCCCUAUCCCUGGGAAGCCAUGAGACCUCAAACCUGUGUUCCCAAGGAGGCGAGCUGCUGUUCCCAGGUGAUGAUAUGAUGUGCUUGGGGAAAGUAAGUGGCUGCCAGACAUGGCUGAGAGCUGUUGUCACUGCCGUCAAGUGCAUGUCUCCAAGCCAUAUCACACGGCGUCCCUCGAUGUGAGGCCACAUGGCAAGUGGGCCGUGGAUCUCCCUCUGCCCUUUGCAAGCACGUAAGACAGCAGAUUUUGCAGAUACCUUGUGGCGCAGGGGAAUUUCCUUUGGCCAGGUCUGAAGAAAUAAAGCAGCAGGCACCGAGAACAAAGCCAAGGCUUUCAAAAGACAAGGAGCCAAAAAACUUACUCAAAAUAAAAGUAGUUUUAAAAUGU
rnacentral:lncRNA from 1 species